GGGCCGAGGCCGGGGCGUUUUGGGGUAACUUCGCUGCUGCUGGCGCGCAGGCCCCCAGCCCUGGGGCGCUGCCCUCAAGGACAGUGCCGGCGUGGGCGGAGGGUGCUGGGAGAGGGGCAGCUCCCGCACCGUCCUGCCCCACAGCUGGGCCUUGCUGGCCGGACGCUGGCCGCCUGUGCAUCUAGUGGUUUCUGAACUGUGGUUUGUUUCGCCAAGGGGCACUGCACUGCUUUCAGGCCCUCCAGGCAAGCCAAAAUUCCUUCCGGAUAGAAUAUGAUACCUUUGGUGAACUAAAGGUGCCAAAUGAUAAGUAUUAUGGCGCCCAGACCGUGAGAUCUACGAUGAACUUUAAGAUUGGAGGUGUGACAGAACGCAUGCCAACCCCAGUUAUUAAAGCUUUUGGCAUCUUGAAGC
rnacentral:sRNA from 1 species